CGCGCCAGUGGCAGGCGGCCUAUGCCGGUUUGAUGGAGACAAGCGCGUGAGUGAUGGCAAGGCCCGGUUCCGCCCCGCGGCGCGCGGC
rnacentral:tRNA from 1 species